rnacentral:lncRNA from 1 species
GACUGUGUAACUCCUAGUUGAGUGUGAAGACCUGAGGUAUCAGGGGUAGGGGUUGCUCUGCUUGUGUAAGUCCCAUAGUGUGAAGGCCAGAGAACCAAGAGAUGGUCAAGAAGAGAGAGUAAGUGUCCAAUGUCCCAGCUCAAGAAGAGAGAGAGCAUCACGACCUGUGCAGACUCCCCAGCAUCAUAACAGGAAGGUCCCACGAUCACGAGCACAUUGCCUUCAGCAUCCAGCACUGAAUAUGGUGAAUUGCACUCUGAAGAGCUUCCUAAGCUUGUAAGAAAGUGAUUCUGAAAAGCUCAACAUUUUGGUAGAAUGGAGAGAUUUGACAUUGCUUCUGCUCCAAAAGCAAAAGACUUGGCCCAGAAGCUAAAAAUCACCUGCCAUCUUGGAAAUAAUCCCUGGAGGAUCAAGUCCAAGGGGGAGAAGUGGACUGGUCACCCCAGCCGAGGUUAUCUAAGUUCCAUGGCUUACUCCAGACAGGAAGCCCCACAUCCUGCAGCCUCAUUCAUAAUCCAUAAUAGAUGGUGUUCUUGGAUCCCAAGUUGAGAAAAGAAGUUAACUAUGCACAUUUUGGCAAAGAUGCAGACCAGGGUUUGAUCUAAGCAGCUAUCACAUAAAAUAAUAAAGUACAAAUGGAAAUGGCAAAAA